AAUGAACGUUGGCGGCGUGGAUUAGGCAUGCAAGUCGAGCGAGAACCCCGCAAGGGGGGACAGCGGCGCAAGGGACAGUAAUGUGUAGAUCAUCUGCCCUCAGGUCCGGGAUAGCUGCGGGAAACUGCAGGUAAUACCGGAUAACAUCUCCGGAUCAAAGGUGUGAUUCCGCCUGAGGAUGAGUCUGCAUCCUAUUAGCUGGUUGGCAGGGUAACGGCCUACCAAGGCAUUGAUGGGUAGCGGGUGUGAGAGCACGACCCGCGUCAUUGGGACUGAGACACUGCCCAGACACCUACGGGGGGCUGCAGUCGAGAAUCUUCGGCAAUGGGCGCAAGCCUGACCGAGCGACGCCGCGUGUGGGAUGAAGGCCUUCGGGUUGUAAACCACUGUCAGAGGGGAUGAAAUGCAGGUGGGUUCUCCCAUCUGUUUGACAUAGCCUCAGAGGAAGGACGGGCUAAGUUCGUGCCAGCAGCCGCCGCCG
rnacentral:rRNA from 1 species